GACGAACGCUGGCGGCGUGCUUAACACAUGCAAGUCGAACGAAGAGCGAUGGAAGCUUGCUUCUAUCAAUCUUAGUGGCGAACGGGUGAGUAACGCGUAAUCAACCUGCCCUUCAGAGGGGGACAACAGUUGGAAACGACUGCUAAUACCGCAUACGAUCUAACCUCGGCAUCGAGGAUAGAUGAAAGGUGGCCUCUACAUGUAAGCUAUCACUGAAGGAGGGGAUUGCGUCUGAUUAGCUAGUUGGAGGGGUAACGGCCCACCAAGGCGAUGAUCAGUAGCCGGUCUGAGAGGAUGAACGGCCACAUCGGGACUGAGACACGGCCCAGACUCCUACGGGAGGCAGCAGUGGGGAAUCUUCCGCAAUGGACGAAAGUCUGACGGAGCAACGCCGCGUGAGUGAUGACGGCCUUCGGGUUGUAAAGCUCUGUUAAUCGGGACGAAAGGCCUUCUUGCGAAUAGUUAGAAGGAUUGACGGUACCGGAAUAGAAAGCCACGGCUAACUACGUG
rnacentral:rRNA from 1 species